rnacentral:rRNA from 1 species
UGCAGCCGAGCGGUAUGGAUAGCUUGCUAUCCAGAGAGCGGCGUACGGGUGCGUAACACGUGUGCAACCUGCCUUUAUCUGGGGGAUAGCCUUUCGAAAGGAAGAUUAAUACCCCAUAAUAUGGUGUCCGGCAUCGGUCGCCAUUGAAAGCCUCGGCGGAUAGAGAUGGGCACGCGCAAGAUUAGAUAGUUGGCGGGGUAACGGCCCACCAAGUCGAUGAUCUUUAGGGGUCCUGAGAGGGAGAUCCCCCACACUGGUACUGAGACACGGACCAGACUCCUACGGGAGGCAGCAGUGAGGAAUAUUGGACAAUGGGUGGAAGCCUGAUCCAGCCAUCCCGCGUGAAGGAUGACGGUCCUAUGGAUUGUAAACUUCUUUUGUACAGGGAUAAACCUGCCCUCGUGAGGGCAGCUGAAAGUACUGUACGAAUAAGCACCGGCUAACUCCGUGCCAGCAGCCGCGGUAAUACGGAGGGUGCGAGCGUUAUCCGGAUUUAUUGGGUUUAAAGGGUCCGUAGGCGGGCCUGUAAGUCAGUGGUGAAAUCUCAUAGCUUAACUAUGAAACUGCCAUUGAUACUGCAGGCCUUGAGUAAAUUUGAAGUGGCUGGAAUAAGUAGUGUAGCGGUGAAAUGCAUAGAUAUUACUUAGAACACCGAUUGCGAAGGCAGGUCACUAAGAUUUAACUGACGCUGAUGGACGAAAGCGUGGGGAGCGAACAGGAUUAGAUACCCUGGUAGUCCACGCCGUAAACGAUGCUAACUCGUUUUUGGAUCUUCGGGUUCAGAGACCAAGCGAAAGUGAUAAGUUAGCCACCUGGAGAGUACGUCCGCAAGGAUGAAACUCAAAGGAAUUGACGGGGGCCCGCACAAGCGGUGGAUUAUGUGGUUUAAUUCGAUGAUACGCGAGGAACCUUACCAAGACUUAAAUGGGAAUUGACAGAUUUAGAAAUAGAUCCUCCUUCGGGCAAUUUUCAAGGUGCUGCAUGGUUGUCGUCAGCUCGUGCCGUGAGGUGUUAGGUUAAGUCCUGCAACGAGCGCAACCCCUGCCAACAGUUGCCAUCAUUCAGUUGGGGACUCUGUUGGGACUGCCUACGCAAGUAGAGAGGAAGGUGGGGAUGACGUCAAAUCAUCACGGCCCUUACGUCUUGGGCCACACACGUAAUACAAUGGCCGGUACAGAGGGCAGCUACCUGGUGACAGGAUGCGAAUCUCGAAAGCCGGUCUCAGUUCGGAUUGGAGUCUGCAACUCGACUCUAUGAAGCUGGAAUCGCUAGUAAUCGCGCAUCAGCCAUGGCGCGGUGAAUACGUUCCCGGGCCUUGUACACACCGCCCGUCAAGCCAUGGAAGUCUGGGGUACCUGAAGUCGGUGACCGUAAUAGGAGC